rnacentral:lncRNA from 1 species
AGGAAGGAACCUGGAGAACGCUCUCCUCAGUGCCCUAGUUCGUCACAGACGGGUCCUUGCAGCGUCAUCUCUGGACAUUCUGAGGAGUGGUACGGCUCCAUCACUAAGGAAUCUGGAGGCUGGAGCUGAGGCAGAAGUCAUGAAGGGAUGCUGCUUACUGGCUUGCUCUACAUAGAUUGCUCAGCCUGCUUUCUUAUAGAACCCAGGACCACCAGCUCAAGGGUGGUCCUGCCCACAGUAAGCUACAUAUCAAUAAUUCCUUCCAUAUCAAUGAUUAAUAUUGAAAACUGCACCACAGGCCAUUCUGUUGGGAGCAUUUUCCCUCUUGAGGUUCCUCUUCCAAACUGAGUCUAGUAUGUGUUAAGCUGACUUAAAACUAGCCUGUGUGGACACAGCUUUCCUGAAAAGCCUCAAUGUCACGGGAAAUAAUCCCAAGAGCUAUCAAAUACAUUUGCAUAAAAUCUAAAAGCUUUGGCACCGAAAAGACAAGAAUUACCUGGAGAAACAGACAUAUAAUAGAACAAAGUCUUCCCACUGCCUAUCAGAUGGUGUUACUAUUUAGACUACACAGGAAAUGCAAAGUUAAUUACCGGAAAAUUGUCUAUUCAAUAAAUGUGUUAAUGGACCAAAUAAAAAAUUCUUUUCUUUUCUUU